CAGAGGGCUGGAGCACCUCUCCUGUGAGGAAAGGUUGAGGGAACUGGGCUUGUUUAGCUUGGAGGAGAGAAGCCUCCGGGCAGACCUCAUUGCAGCCUUCUAGUACUUGAAGAGAGCGUAUAAAUAUGAAGGGGAAUGGCUGCUUAUCAGAGUGGGUAGUGAUAGUACAAGGGGGAAUGGUUUAAAGCUGAGACAGGGGAGGUUUAGGUUAGAUAUUAGGAGGAAGUUUUUCACCCAGAGGGUGGUGACACACUGGAACACGUUGCCCAGAGAAGUUGUAGAUGCCCCAUCCCUGGAGGCAUUAAUGGCCAGGCUGGAUGUGUCUCUGGACAGCCUGGUCUAGCGGCUGGCGACCCUGCACAUAGCAGGGGCUUGAAACUAGAUGAUCACUGUGGUCCUUUUCAACCCAGGCCAUUCUAUGAUUCUAUGAGUAAUGAGAUCAUCACUUCAGUGAAAAUGAUUGUGUUAGCAGGUGAGUAUUUGGCUUCAAUAUAGUAAUGAGAGAGGAAAGGAAAAUGAUACAGGUCAAAGCGUAAAAGCUUCUAAAGGACGUUAAGAAAAUGGCUAAGUAAAACUCUU
rnacentral:lncRNA from 1 species